ensembl:ncRNA F32G8.10 ncRNA
GAAAAUAGCAAAAAAUCGAAAAAGAAACGGAAGACGUCGUCCCAUACAUCAAUCGUUUUCCGCCAUUCCUUCAUGGCAGCACUUCUAGGUAUUCAGGAAAAUGUGGAGGAAGAAUAAUUUAUUUAUGCAAAC